CCAUGGCCGUGAUGAUUAACUCUUUCAGCAAACAUGCCAGUUCUGCUUCUGAGAAUUCAUGACUGAAAAUUUUGUUAUAUAAGAUCGGAGCCAUUU
rnacentral:snoRNA from 1 species